CGCUAGCUACAGGCUUAACACAUGCAAGUCGAGGGGCAGCAUGGUCUUAGCUUGCUAAGGCCGAUGGCGACCGGCGCACGGGUGAGUAACACGUAUCCAACCUGCCGUCUACUCUUGGACAGCCUUCUGAAAGGAAGAUUAAUACAAGAUGGCAUCAUGAGUCCGCAUGUUCACAUGAUUAAAGGUAUUCCGGUAGACGAUGGGGAUGCGUUCCAUUAGAUAGUAGGCGGGGUAACGGCCCACCUAGUCUUCGAUGGAUAGGGGUUCUGAGAGGAAGGUCCCCCACAUUGGAACUGAGACACGGUCCAAACUCCUACGGGAGGCAGCAGUGAGGAAUAUUGGUCAAUGGGCGAGAGCCUGAACCAGCCAAGUAGCGUGAAGGAUGACUGCCCUAUGGGUUGUAAACUUCUUUUAUAAAGGAAUAAAGUCGGGUAUGGAUACCCGUUUGCAUGUACUUUAUGAAUAAGGAUCGGCUAACUCCGUGCCAGCAGCCGCGGUAAUACGGAGGAUCCGAGCGUUAUCCGGAUUUAUUGGGUUUAAAGGGAGCGUAGAUGGAUGUUUAAGUCAGUUGUGAAAGUUUGCGGCUCAACCGUAAAAUUGCAGUUGAUACUGGAUAUCUUGAGUGCAGUUGAGGCAGGCGGAAUUCGUGGUGUAGCGGUGAAAUGCUUAGAUAUCACGAAGAACUCCGAUUGCGAAGGCAGCCUGCUAAGCUGCAACUGACAUUGAGGCUCGAAAGUGUGGGGUAUCAAACAGGAUUAGAUACCCUGGUAGUCCACACGGUAAACGAUGAAUACUCGCUGUUUGCGAUAUACUGCAAGCGGCCAAGCGAAAGCGUUAAGUAUUCCACCUGGGGAGUACGCCGGCAACGGUGAAACUCAAAGGAAUUGACGGGGGCCCGCACAAGCGGAGGAACAUGUGGUUUAAUUCGAUGAUACGCGAGGAACCUUACCCGGGCUUAAAUUGCAGAUGAAUUACGGUGAAAGCCGUAAGCCGCAAGGCAUCUGUGAAGGUGCUGCAUGGUUGUCGUCAGCUCGUGCCGUGAGGUGUCGGCUUAAGUGCCAUAACGAGCGCAACCCUUGUUGUCAGUUACUAACAGGUUCCGCUGAGGACUCUGACAAGACUGCCAUCGUAAGAUGUGAGGAAGGUGGGGAUGACGUCAAAUCAGCACGGCCCUUACGUCCGGGGCUACACACGUGUUACAAUGGGGGGUACAGAGGGCCGCUACCACGCGAGUGGAUGCCAAUCCCCAAAACCUCUCUCAGUUCGGACUGGAGUCUGCAACCCGACUCCACGAAGCUGGAUUCGCUAGUAAUCGCGCAUCAGCCACGGCGCGGUGAAUACGUUCCCGGGCCUUGUACACACCGCCCGUCAAGCCAUGGGAGCCGGGGGUACCUGAAGUGCGUAACCGCGAGGAGCGCCCUAGGGUAAAACUGGA
rnacentral:rRNA from 1 species